rnacentral:rRNA from 1 species
GGGCCCGCACAAGCGGUGGAGCAUGUGGUUUAAUUCGAUGAUACGCGAGGAACCUUACCAGGGCUUAAAUGUAGUGGGACAGGUCUAGAGAUAGACCCUUCUUCGGACUCAUUACAAGGUGCUGCAUGGUUGUCGUCAGCUCGUGCCGUGAGGUGUCAGGUUAAGUCCUAUAACGAGCGCAACCCCUAUCGUUAGUUGCCAGCGGUCAUGCCGGGAACUCUAGCGAAACUGCCGGUGCAAACCGAGAGGAAGGUGGGGAUGACGUCAAAUCAGUCACGGCCCUUACGUCCUGGCCACACACGUGCUACAAUGGCCGGUACAGAGAGCAGCCACUUCGCAAGAAGGAGCG